CGGGAACUUUGAUGCCAGGCUUAUCGUCUUCCGGGAGUCCUGGUUUUUCUCUGGUUCCCUGUACCUUAACAUCAGACACUCUUGGGGGAGGAGGUGACCUGCAGUAGUUCCAACCUGCCGGCAGCGCCCCUGGCUCAGGUCCCUCGCGCUCCUGGACUCACCUGGUGCUGAGGAUCAGCGCCGGCAGCAGAGGCAGCAGGUACAGCGCCGGGCUGAACUGCAUGCUGUCGCCUGAGGGGGCCUCCUUCCCUCGCUGCCUUCGCUCUCCCUCCUCCUCUGGGUCUUGUCGCUCGGUUCUGGCCCCGGCCGGCGAUGAGCCCUCUCCAGCAGCGGACGGAAGGAAACGGACAAAUGGACGGACGCCGCGCGAAGGCAAGCACUGAGCGCGGGGAGUAUCUUCGGGAGUGAUGUCACCGGCGAAGCGAGCCCUGCCCGGGAUCGUUCGGCGCCGCCGCUCCCGAGCCCGGAGGGCGCGUUGUCACUCGCGCUGGAGGCGGCGCGGGGAGAGGGAGGGGGCGCCCAGCGAGGGCCCCGCGCGCUCGGGUCACCGGGCUGCGCUCUGGUCCCCGGCUGCACACCCGCCCGAGGCUGAUCAUUUAUCCCGCUUCUUUCAAGGAAGGGAGGGGCGGGACCGGGUCGAGGAGAGAAAUCUAAUCCUCCAGUGUUGAACCGGCGUGCUCAGCAGGAGGUGAGAACGAAUUCACUGGGAAAGACGAUCAGAUGCUCAGAGUCGCAGGCAGGUGUCCCGCACCUGAUUAAACAGUGUUUGGAAGAACCUCGUUCUGGAGAGAGUGUUUAAAAUAUUCUAAUUAGAAAUGCAUAGUAAUUCGCCUGAUGCUGCUGGAAGGACAGCAGGAGUGAGCAGCGCCCAGAAAUGCACCGUGAGCCCUAAUGCCAUUGCAAGCUUCUUAGUCCGCAAACACGGACUAUAAGAGGUGUCAGGACAGUUAAGACGUCUGCUGCUUCUGGGUUUUGAAGAUUUCUGAUCUUCCUCUCAUUUCAAUCUGUCGGUUUGUACCAGCAGCUGGCAGUGGGAUUGGAGAUGAUGGCCCAAUUUCACUCACCUGAACGGCUCCUUUUCUUCAGGUGUGGAAACAACUGAGAAAUUCAUCAAGAUCGUAACAGUAAUUAACUCAGAGUGGUGGGAUCGGAAGGCAGAAGGUUUGAUGUGUCGUUUAAUUUUCUAUAUUUUCCAAAUUUUAUAUAGUGAACAUCUGAGAUUUAAUAAGCUUUAUUUUAAAAAAUUAAUUAGGAAAAUUCAAAACAACUCUAAUACGAAAGAUUUUGCAGAAGCAAUUCUGGAAAAUAGCACCAACUUCAUCUACUGAAAUGUUCAAUUCUAGGAUCUUUACAACAUGCUACAUUUUUUUAUAUUCUAGCAGGAUAUCCCAGUUAAAUAAAUGUUUAUGAAGCACUUCUUCACCCAUUAUUUCAUUUGAACAAGAGCCAUUCUAGAGAAAUAUAAAUUAAUAUUAUCCUUAUUAUAGAGGAGACUGAAAACCACCAAGAUCUGAGCCAGAUUUUUUUUUUUUUUAAACAAAGAACUGCGUUCUUCUAAAUCUUAAGCAAACGUUGCCUGGAACAUCACCUCUGGCACAACUAGCCCAGUGAUUAACACAAAGUUGAUGUUCAGUAGAGGGUAAAGGGCACCCGAAACCCUAUAGGGUGAAGGGCAGGCAGUCUCCAGGAACUCCUAUCCAGAGGGUACAGCUCAUAUCCCAUUUUUUCAGGGACAAGGCAUUUACAGUAAAGUUUAGAUGAAGCAUCUUCUUUAAUCUAAUUUUUGAAGACAUUGCUUGUAGGAAAAACACAGCCUUUUCUCAUAAAGCUUCAUUUUAAGAAGGAUACAAGUUUAAAGAAUUAACCAUCUAAUUUACUGAUUUGUUUUUGCUUUUCCUUUUAACGGGAUUAAAGUUUAAGACAUUCAUACAGAACAGAUAUUAUUUUUUAAACCCCAGUCUGUAAAGUAGCUGAGUAAUAACUUUUGCAAACUGGAUACCAGCCCCUUAGGCAAUAGUAAGAUCCACAACAGAUACAACUAGGCACGGGCAAAUCAACUCACUUGCGAAGUGCAUGUCAUUUGCAAAGAAAAAUUGCGCUACACUUUGCUGAAACAGAACUCGGACUCCAAAGGAAAAUGUGUAUUUCAGUUGCUCCUGUGAGAAUUGUUUAAGAUAGAUUUCUUGCUCAGUGUGGAAAGUAAUCAUGUGAGUUGAACACCCAACAAAGACCUAUGGCUACUAAGCAAUAAAAAAAGAAUGUGUCUACUAGGAAAUACUCAUAUUUGUAGAACACGUUUUUGUUUACAUAGCAAGUUUGAGUUCGUUAUCUUCUGUUGUAAUUAUAGGAACCAAUUGUGAUAGUCAUUUCUAUGAUUCUCCUCUUUUGCAGUUGAGUUGACAGAUUCAGAGUGGUUAAGUAACUUGCUCAAGGUGACUCAGUAAAUUAUGUAGUGGAGAUGGCAUUUGAAUUCAGUCUGCAUCACUUUAAAACAUUUGUUUUCUUAAGGAAAAGUUUUGGAUUUUUUAUACGUAUGUAAGAGAAGACUUUCCUCAACCUGCACUGUGUUACUUUUUAUUAGAUGUACAACGUAAAACAAGAGUCAGACUAGUGUGGACUGUCAACCAAGAAAGGGAAGUAUCAGAAUGAACUUUGUUUAGAGUGAGUCUCACGGUUAUGUUGUGCCUCUGUAUUGGAUACCAAUAAAGAACCAACAAGCUUU